rnacentral:rRNA from 1 species
CCAAUAGCGUAUAUUAAAGUUGUUGCAGUUAAAAAGCUCGUAGUUGAAUUUCAGGCCUGGCUGGGCGGUCCGCCCUUCGGGUGAGUACUGCCUGUGGUCGGGUCCUACCUUCUGGCGAAGCGUCAUGGCCUUCACCGGCCGUGGCGGGGAACCAGGACUUUUACUGUGAAAAAAUUAGAGUGUUCAAAGCAGGCAAUCGCUUGGAUACAUUAGCAUGGAAUAAUGGAAUAGGACAGUGGUUCUAUUUGUUGGUUUCUAGGACCGUUGUAAUGAUUAAUAGGGAUAGUUGGGGGCAUUAGUAUUCAAUUGUCAGAGGUGAAAUUCUUGGAUUUAUUGAAGACUAACUACUGCGAAAGCAUUUGCCAAGGAUGUUUUCAUUAAUCAAGAACGAAAGUUAGGGGAUCGAAGACGAUCAGAUACCGUCGUAGUCUUAACCAUAAACUAUGCCGACUAGGAAUCGGGCGAUGUUGACAAAAUGACGCGCUCGGCACCUCAUG